UGUCCCUGGGAGUGUUUAAAGCAUCAGUAAUUGCAAUAGCUGCAACCUUGGCCUUUCUCUUUUAUCUCUCCUCUGGCUCCCGAUUGUUGAACACAGGAAAGGCCAUGUCCAGCAAUUGGACCAGAAAUGUCUGAGGCCCCAUCAGAAGUUUUUGUAGCUUAUACCAGACAUCUGGGGCUGACUGACCGACUACUGCUUCUCCCUCCCUGGAAGAUGGCUCUAUAUUGUAAAGACUCAGUACAUCUCUUUAUGUUCCCGUUGGAUUCCAGGUAGGCCCUUCUCAUCUCGAACAAGGAAUUGAACAAAAUGAGUAAAACACAGUGGCAAAGACUAUUUGAAAAAGGAAAAGUAAAGAAGAAACUCCUGGCUCUGCAGACCAAGCUUGGGCCAAGUAAGAGAGGAAAAAGCACAAGUACACCCUGGGGGAAGCAGGGUGGGC
rnacentral:lncRNA from 1 species